rnacentral:rRNA from 1 species
CACGUAGGGCGCAAGCGUUGUCCGGAAUUAUUGGGCGUAAAGAGCUCGUAGGCGGUCUGUUGCGUCCGCUGUGAAAACUCGGGGCUUAACCCCGAGCCUGCAGUGGAUACGGGCAGACUAGAGGUAGGUAGGGGAGAAUGGAAUUCCCGGUGUAGCGGUGAAAUGCGUAGAUAUCGGAAGGAACACCUGUGGCGAAAGCGGCUCACUGGACCAUUACUGACACUGAGGCACGAAAGCUAGGGGAGCAAACAGG